UACGGAGGGGGCAAGCGUUGUUCGGAAUUACUGGGCGUAAAGGGCUCGUAGGUGGCCAACUAAGUCAGACGUGAAAUCCCUCGGCUUAACCGGGGAACUGCAUCUGAUACUGGAUGGCUUGAGUUUGGGAGAGGGACGCGGAAUUCCAGGUGUAGCGGUGAAAUGCGUAGAUAUCUGGAGGAACACCGGUGGCGAAGGCGGCGUCCUGGACCAACACUGACACUGAGGAGCGAAAGCCAGGGGAGCAAACGGG
rnacentral:rRNA from 1 species